UACAGAGGGGGCAAGCGUUGUUCGGAAUUACUGGGCGUAAAGGGCGCGUAGGCGGCCCGCUAAGUCGAACGUGAAAUCCCCGGGCUCAACCCGGGAACUGCGUCCGAUACUGGCGGGCUUGAAUCCGGGAGAGGGAUGUGGAAUUCCAGGUGUAGAGGUGAAAUUCGUAGAUAUCGGGAGGAACACCAGUGGCGAAGGCGGCGAUCUGGGCAGAUACUGACGCUGAGGUGCGAAAGCGUGGGGAGCAAACAGG
rnacentral:rRNA from 1 species